GACGCUGGUUCGAAAGACGGGAUCCUGGGAACCCCAGCGCGU
rnacentral:rRNA from 1 species